GGCCGGGAGUAGAGUGGCGAACGGGCGAGUAAUGCGUUUCUAACGUGCCCCGAGGUCGGGGAUAGCUCACCGAAAGGUGUGGUAAUACCCGAUGACCUCCGCGGAUCGCAUGGUCUGCGGAGCAAAGGCUUGCUGCCUCGGGAUCGGGAAACGUGCUAUCAGGUAGUUGGUGGGGUAACGGCUCACCAAGCCGAAGACGGCUAGCGGGUGUGAGAGCAUGACCCGCCGCAUCGGAACUGAGACACUGUCCGGACUCCUACGGGAGGCUGCAGUAACGGAUCUUCCGCAAUGCGCGAAAGCGUGACGGAGCAAUGCCGCGUGCGGGAUGAAGCCCCUUGGGGUGUAAACCGCUGUCAGGGCCUAGGAAUUCUGACCAGGCCCAGAGGAAGGACCGGCUAACUUCGUGCCAGCAGCCGCGGUAAGACGAAGGGUCCAAGCGUUGCGCGGAAUCACUGGGCUUAAAGCGUGCGCAGGCGGGUAUGUAAGUGCCUUGUGAAAUCCCACCGCUCAACGGUGGAAUUGCAGGGCAUACUGCAUACCUUGAGGUCGGUAGAGGUGCCCGGAACUGUAGGUGUAGCGGUGAAAUGCGUAGAUAUCUACAGGAACGCCGAAGGUGAAGACAGGGCACUGGGCCGAUUUUGACGCUCAGGCACGAAAGCGUGGGGAGCAAACAGGAUUAGAUACCCUGGUAGUCCACGCCGUAAACAAUGUGUACUAGAUCCGGGAGGUUCUGACACCAUCCGGAUCGAAGCUAAAGUGUUAAGUACACCGCCUGGGGAGUACGGUCGCAAGGCUAAAACUCAAAGGAAUUGACGGGGGCUCACACAAGCGGUGGAGCAUGUUGCUUAAUUCGAUGCAACGCGAAGAACCUUAUCCUGGGUUUGACAUGCAUGGAUGCCCUUCCCGAAAGGGAAGUAAGCUGCUCAUUCGAGUGAAACAUGCACAGGUGCUGCAUGGCUGUCGUCAGCUCGUGCUGUGAAGUGUUGGG
rnacentral:rRNA from 1 species